UACGGAGGGUGCAAGCGUUAUCCGGAUUCACUGGGUUUAGAGGGUGCGUAGGUGGGCAAGUAAGUCAGUGGUGAAAUCUCCGGGCUUAACCCGGAAACUGCCAUUGAUACUAUUUGUCUUGAAUACUGUGGAGGUCAGCGGAAUAUGUCAUGUAGCGGUGAAAUGCUUAGAUAUGACAUAGAACACCAAUUGCGAAGGCAGCUGGCUACACAAAUAUUGACACUGAGGCACGAAAGCGUGGGGAGCGAACAGG
rnacentral:rRNA from 1 species